NNNNNNNNNNNNNNNNNNNNNNNNNNNNNNNNNNNNNNNNNNNNNNGGGAGGGAGAGGGGCCGUGGGAGAGCUCCGAGAGGGGUGUGCGCAAGGUGGACCGGAUGUGAGAGUGCGACUGCCAGGGCCCGCGGGAAGGUGUGUCUCGGAGCCAAAUCUUCAGAAGAAAGCAAAACAAAACACAAAACUAAGUCAUCUAGUGGAACCUCCAGUUACCUGUCUGUCAGAAGAAGAUGGGGCAUUGGUGAGAAGAAUGUCUCUAGCUACCCUUCCACCUCCACUGGCCACACAGAAGAUGCUGAGAGCUGAGUGGGACCACUUUCUCCCCAUCCCUUCUGGCCAGGAAAUCCAAGAAUUGUGCAUGAUUCUUUCAUCAGAUUUUCUUUCUGUAUCAGGGGAUUUAAGGUGGGUUGUUCGUGGAGUCUUCUCGAAUACUAAAAAAUAUCUUGAGAGAGAAAUAAAGAAAGAGAGCAAAUAAAAUGGAUCUUAUAGUAAAAACUAUGUAUGUAAAAGAACUGCUUAUAUUUAAAGAAAUAUGGAAAGAUAAGCCAUAAUAUUUUUUGAAAGGUUAUCUGUAGAAGGAGGGAGGAAUAAAGAGGGGAGGAAUAGAAGCUAGACUUGUUUGUAGAUUUUACUUAGCAACUGUGCAAACAUUUUAUAUAAUUAUAAAACAAAAUUAAGAUUUAAAAACAGUAUCAUAAAAAUUACAACCAAAAUAAAACAAAUGAACCAAACUGUAGAUCAGGCUACUGGCAAAGACAAACAGAAGGGACCUAUUUUGGCGUGCCUUGGUGGCUCAGUCGGUUAAGUGUUAAGCUCAGGUCAUGACCUCAGGGUCCCGGGAUUGAGCCCCCAUCCCCGUGGGGCUCCCCACACUGCAGGGAGUCUGCUUAUCCUUUUCCCUUUACCCCUCUCCCUGCUUGUACUCUCUCUUUCUCAAAUAAAUAGUCUUUAAAAAAAAAAAAGGACCUAUUUCAAGUGAGUUUAAAACAGUAAUUUGAUUGCUUAUCCAAGUAGGAUUACCCUAAGGACAAAAUUACUUAAAGAAUUUUAAACUGUUUAUGGGAGUCAUAUUAUUGGCACUAGUGUUGACUUCAUUACUCUGAGACUUGAAUGUGUAUCGUGGGGUGAAGAAAGUAAGUAAUUAUGUGAUACUCCAGUAUCGUUCCCAAUACCACUGAAAACCGGCACUCUCAGCAUGGGUAAGAGAAAUACAAGAUAGAAGUUAAGUGUACACUCUGAGUUGGAAGUAUCAUGAUAAACUAAUGAUGAAUUUAUCUUGGAAAAAAGUAUUCUGUGCAUUUCAAAGGCCUUAUAUCAAUAAGUAAAAAUGAGUAUGCUGGCAGCCAGAUCGUGAUCUUCAAAUACUAUUUCCCACUAAAAGGAACUAGGAUUCCUUGGAGAAAUGACUGAUUCCAUGUCUGGGGCAGCCUGUAUUACCAAAUAGUAAGAAAGUUAUCAAAGACCACUAAGGUUUUAUCAAAAGAACUUACAACUCUAAGGUCCUCCCACUGGCCAAGAUGGGGUAAUAUGUACAGUGUAUCAAUGUAUUUGUCAACACUGUUCCUAGUAAUACUAAAAAUUGGUUGCUAUCAGAAGAUACAAGUGAACUACAAUUCAUCUUUUUGAGAGUUGCUGAAUGUGGACAAAUAAUUACCAUGUAUUCUGUUUUUCCUUUAUGAACUAUAAAGGACCUGGGUAACUAAAUAGUAGAUGACAGUAUUUCUUUAUAAAAGUAUUCCAGCUAACAAAUGAGAAAGUCAUGAUAGACUUUGCAUAUCACCAUUUAGAAGUUCUAAUGAAUUAGUGGAUCUAGUUAUUGGUGUUUAAUAGCUACUAACAUCGCAAAAGGAGACCACAAGACAUCAUGUGUCUACUAAUGGAAGAUCACAAGAGCACCAAGUUGUGCAAAAAAAAAAAAAAAAAAAAAAGAAUCUGAAUGUGACCAGUCUUCUACAUCCAAUUACCAAUUAGUGAGGAAAAAACCCAGAAGAUAGAGAAACAUGUUAAAUGGCACCAUGGGGAAUACAAUUAGCAAAAUACAGAUUGUGGGAAACUCUUCAGGACAAACAAGUCAUUUUAUUAAAAAAAAAAAUUCCAGGAAAAAAGAGAAAUGGAGGAGGAUCCUAGAGUGAAAGAAUUAAGGGAUAGAUCAACAAGUGAUAGGGCACCUGGGUAGCCAAGUCAGUUAAGUGUCUGCCUUUGGCUCAGGUCAUGAUCCUGGUUUGUGGACUCAAGUCCCAGAUUGUCUUCCCUGCUCAGCGGGGAGUCUGCUUCUCUUUCUUCCUCCACCCCUCUCUCCUGCUUAUGCUCCCUCACUUGCUCUCUCUCUCUCAACUAAAGAAAGAAAAUCUUAAAACAAAAACAAAUCACAUGUAGAGAUCUUUUCUUGAUCAUGAUUCAAGUAAAUUAUAAAAU
rnacentral:lncRNA from 1 species